AAUGUUCCCCCUUUACAACACGACGGCAAGAGGCUUUUCACCAUCUCCUCAAAAGAUCCUCGUGGAAUUCUCAGCCUGCGCCGCGGUGUUGCUCGUAAAGGUCACAAAGGAGACUUUUUGUCUGUUUAGCUGCGCUUAGGUGUCUUCUUCAGUUACGACGGGAUGAUUCGACAUAGCAGCGGAGGAACUUUUCCAAAGGGAGACGUGUCCUGUGAGAUAUAUGGAGCAAGACAACGGUUACGUUUGACAUACACGACUUUCUCUGCAGGGACUCUUUCCAGAAGUUCACUGGUGAACCAGAGAGUGUAUCCCAGCUGACUUUCGAGUAGAGGUGUGUACACCUA